rnacentral:rRNA from 1 species
CCUACGGGAGGCAGCAGUGGGGAAUAUUGCACAAUGGGGGAAACCCUGAUGCAGCCAAGUCGCGUGAGGGAAGAAGUACUUACGUAUUUAAAGCUCCAUCUGUAGGGAAGAAAAUUACGGUACCUGAUCAAUAUACUCCGUCCAAAUACGUGACAGCUGCCGCGGUAAUACGUCGGGGGCAAGCGUUAUCCGGAUUUACUGGGUGUAAAGGGAGCGUAGACGGGUGCAAAAGUCAGGAGUGAAAUGCUGGGGCUUAACCCCGGAAUUGCAUUGGAAACUGUGAAGCUAGAGUGCAGGAGAGGUAAGUGGAAUUCGUAGUGUAGCGGUGAAAUGCGUAGAUAUUACGAAGAACACCAGUUGCGAAGGCAGCUUACUAAACUGUCACUGACGUUGAGGCUCGAAAGCGUGGGGAGCAAACAGGAUUAGAUACCCCAGUAGUC